rnacentral:lncRNA from 1 species
AUCUAAGUAUCUUUAGAAUUUUUUGAUUUACUUUUUCUACUUCAUAUCUGAAUUUUUUGAACCUUUCAAAGGUUUCAGAUUUAUAUUUCAUAUACAUACCUAUAUCACGACUGAUCAUCGAUAAAGAUAAUGAAGUAGAGAUAAUCUUCCUCAUCUAGCUCAUCAAAUGGACCGCACACAUUAAAUGUGUACUAGGAUAA